rnacentral:rRNA from 1 species
UAAAAACGGUACUCAGUUCGGAUUGUAGGCUGCAACUCGCCUACAUGAAGUCGGAAUUGCUAGUAAUCGCGGAUCAGCAUGCCGCGGUGAAUACGUUCCCGGGCCUUGUACACACCGCCCGUCACACCAUGGAAGUUGGUAACACCCGAAGCCUGUAGCCUAACCGCAAGGAGGGCGCAGUCGAAGGUGGGAUUGAUGACUGGGGUGAAGUCGUAACAAGGUACC